CACAUGUGUCUGUGAGUGAGAAAAGCCUGGCAAAGAGGAAGUGCCCACAGGUUGUUCUGGACAGCUCUUCCCUGAAGAGCCUUGUCCUGGUUUCAGCUGGGAUAGAGUUAAUUUUCUUCCUAGUAGCUGGUAUGGUGCCAUGUUUUGGAUUUAGGAUGAGAAUAAUGCUGAUAACACACCGAUGUUUUUAGUUGUUGCUGAGCAGUACUUACAAGUCAAGGACUUUUCAGCUUCUCAUGCUGCUUUGCCAGGUAGGAGGCUGGGGUUCACAAGAAACUGUUCCUAUCUCAAUCCACAAGUUUGUGCACUUUUCAAUUUUCUCCCCUAUCCCACUGUGGGGAAUGUGAGUGAACAGCUGUAUUGUGUUUAGCUGCCUGACGAAUUAAACCACAAAAAGCCUUCUGCCUCCAACUGCAGCAAAGCCCUCACACAGACUCUACCCUUGGUGUCCAGCACCUUUCCUGCUGUUUUGUUGUUGUUGUCAUUGUUGUUUUGUUUUCAACAGUUUUCUGGGUAUCUAGGAAAUCUGGGGACUUCUCUUUCAUGAAGUUGCAAAAUAGAAUGAGCUACUAUUGAGUUAUCUUGAUGAUCUGGAGAAAUCUCAUUGCAUUAAGAGCUACCAAUUUCUCUUGUUCUUAACACUGAAACAAAAAUAAAAUCUCACAGCUGCCCUUCAAAUAAAUUAAUUUCCUUUUCUUUCCUUUUCCUCUUCAUCUGUUUUAACCCCCAUUCCCUGCCCAGCUUGAAGAACAUCGCGCUGAGCAGAAGCAGCUCAAGUACCUGCAGAAGAGGCAGGCCCAGAUCACCAAGGAGAAGGACCAGCUGCAGAGUGAGCACAGCCGAGCCAUCCUUGCCCGCAGCAAACUCGAGAGCCUGUGCAGGGAGCUCCAGAGGCACAACAAAAACCUCAAGCAGGGUCAGUCACCCAGCACCAGGCCUAGCUGCAAGAAGUGUCCUUGUUGCUUCAGCUUUCAGCUCCAACCUGCUGGCAUGGAGGGUCCAAGUGUGGAGCAGGCAGCUGGGGAAGGGUGUUUUUUAAUCUGUAGCAGCUGGGUCUUCCAGAAGAUAGCUUCUCAGACCCCUGAGACUGCAAAUGUGAAUACAGGUGUGUGGCCAGAAUUAUACAAACACCAGAUUUGCUGUACAGGACUCACAGAAGGCUGGCAGCUGUUUUCAUAUUAUUUGAGCUCCUGGGCAUUUUCAAGUGAUUUAUGAUGUCUGUCAGUCGGGACAUUUUCCUCAAGACAUCAGGCUUCAAAACAGCAAGGAUGCUGACACUGUUUGUGGAAGUUGUCUGGAUUACAAACACCAGUUCAGAAAGGAAAUCCUCAAGAGUGUCAAGAGGCUGGGACCCAUGUACCAGAUCUGCCUGUUCCUUGGUGCACCAUGCCAUAUAAAUGUGAAAUUUAUAAUCUGAUUAUGGUUCUUAAAAAAUUCUAGGUUGAAGAUAUAUAUUUCUGUUGUGAUCUUUCUUUUUAUUUUUGAGAAUAUGUUAGUGACAGUAGUGUUAUACAAAAAGCGUCUGCUUGCUCUAUUCAAAAUCCUUUAUGGAGGUAUAGUUAUGUAUAGAACAACACAUAUGAAUUCUUAGCAGCAAGAACCUCACCUCAUAUAACUUCUAUUAACUGUACAGAUUCUUAUUCAUUUCUACCACCUCAGGAGUGGGCGUUCACGGGCUAGCCUUAACUUUUACUGUGUGUUCGUAAGAAUAUAUCUGUGAGAGGAAACAGCCAUGUCUAAACACAAACUAUGGAUGAGUAGGUGUAAAGUAGAUUAACAGACAGGAAGCAUAUCUCUGUGUGCUCAGUUACAGUAGCUCAAAACUGUCAGUGUCAAAUAAAUUCUUGCCUAUCAUUUGUACCAAACCUGGUGUAUAUUAAGCUAUAUCUCAGUGUCGAUCCACACUGAUCUACCAAAGCAUCUUUGGCAAAAUCUCUCAGCAGAAAUACAAACCAGUUUUAAAGUGAUUUAAGAGUACAGUGCUUUGUAUAGACUUAACUGAGACUUCUAAAGCAAUCAAAUCAUAUGCCCAAGUCAGUGGAAAAAGGUAUAGAGAAAAACUAAUUAUAUUCAGAAAACAUAUUUGAAACAGGUUUUGUUGAAUGACUUGCACUAUCUCCCAGCUAUCAUAUGCUUAUU